AUUGAACGCUGGCGGCAUGCUUUACACAUGCAAGUCGAACGGUAACAGGCCGCAAGGUGCUGACGAGUGGCGAACGGGUGAGUAAUGCAUCGGAACGUGCCCAGUCGUGGGGGAUAACGCAGCGAAAGCUGCGCUAAUACCGCAUACGAUCUAUGGAUGAAAGCGGGGGACCGAAAGGCCUCGUGCGAUUGGAGCGGCCGAUGUCAGAUUAGGUAGUUGGUGGGGUAAAGGCUCACCAAGCCAACGAUCUGUAGCUGGUCUGAGAGGACGACCAGCCACACUGGGACGGAGACACGGCCAAGACUCCUACGGGAGGCAGCAGUGGGGAAUUUUGGACAAUGGGCGCAAGCCUGAUUCAGCAAUGCCGCGUGCAGGAAGAAGGCCUUCGGGUUGUAAACUGCUUUUGUACGGAACGAAACGGUCCUGGUUAAUACCUGGGGCUAAUGACGGUACCGUAAGAAUAAGCACCGGCUAACUACGUGCCAGCCGCCGCAGUAAUAC
rnacentral:rRNA from 1 species